rnacentral:snoRNA from 1 species
AAGCUAUGAUGAGGACACUCUAAGAGGAGGUCUUUAAAACGUUCCAUACAUCGAGAGAAUGAUUCAUUGGGUCUUUGGAGAAACUGGAGAAUGUCGUUCCUAAGGUU